GAUGAACGCUGGCGGCGUGCUUAACACAUGCAAGUCGAACGGAAAGGCUCCUGCUUGCAGGGGUACUCGAGUGGCGAACGGGUGAGUAACACGUGGGCGAUCUGCCCUGCACUUCGGGAUAAGCCUGGGAAACUGGGUCUAAUACCGGAUAGGACGAUGGCUUGGAUGCCAUUGUGGAAAGUUUUGUCGGUGUGGGAUGAGCUCGCGGCCUAUCAGCUUGGUGGUGGGGUAAUGGCCUACCAAGGCGUCGACGGGUAGCCGGCCUGAGAGGGUGUACGGCCACAUUGGGACUGAGAUACGGCCCAGACUCCUACGGGAGGCAGCAGUAGGGAAUAUUGCACAAUGGGCGCAAGCCUGAUGCAGCGACGCCGCGUGGGGGAUGACAGCCUUCGGGUUGUAAACUCCUUUCGCUAGGGACGAAGCGCAAGUGACGGUACCUGGAGAAGAAGCACCGGCUAACUACGUG
rnacentral:rRNA from 1 species